rnacentral:lncRNA from 1 species
GUCUGGACGAGGAUUAGAUACGGGGGAACGGGGAACGGGCUGAGAUUUGGGAACGGAGGGAGCGUGGGCUGGGAACGAGAGGGGUGGGGACGAUGCUAAUAAUGACUAGAACAGGGUGGGUCGAUUUAGUACAAUGGGUCACUUUAACAUUCCCCAUAUAUAUAUGUCAAAAGUAUUAAACACUAUCACAUUUGUAUAAUCAUUUUUUU